rnacentral:lncRNA from 1 species
CUCUGGCAUUUUCAAUUCUACAUCGUAUUUCGGUUGUUUGAUCCCAUUUCGAGCUGACGACUGUUCCAAGGUAUACAUAUAAUUCUACGUGUUAAAUUGGUUUUUUAUUUUCAAUUGUCUGGCAGGUUGUUGAGUUUUGCUCACCACUGUCCGUUUUUGUUUUAUUUAUGUUGAAGGUUAAAUUCUCUUUUUUCACUCGCUCUUUGUAGGUACCCUGUCCAUAAGAUGCUGAAGUUCAUCAAUACUGCUAGCAACCACAACUGUAUCGUCUGCAUAUCGGUUUAUCUAAUUAUUACUUAAGUAAAUUUCAAUAUUUUUUUCACUUACGGAAAUAUUUGACAUAAAUUAAUCAAUGACUAUACAAUAUUGUUUUGUCUACAGUUUUUUUAUUAGGAAAAUGCCUCAACAAAUACUAAUGGCCAUUGGCAUGUGUAAUGUCUGUAAAAAUGUCGAUGUCAUCGUCUUUACAAAGAGACGCUAAUUGUAUCCGAACAAUGCAUUAUUUGCGGCCCUAUAAAAAUUAAAUUUGCCAGAAAGUGAAUAAAACUGAAAUUGUUUUAGAUACGCCCCACAUAACAUACUAGAGCUUAUGUUAUCUAUGUAUUAUGUCAAAACUAGUAUAAUCCCCCAGUAAACACUUUGAGACAUUUUGAGCCUAGUUUAACUUUCAACCAUUUGUAUAACGACACGGUUUCAAGCAUAAGAAAUGUAUACUUGUAUUGUUAAGACACUGUGACGUUAUAAAAUCAUGAUUGAAAGUCAAAAAAGGCCCAAAAUGUGUACUGGGAGGGCGUGGGGCCACUUUUCUAAACAAAACCGCGUGAUUCAUCGUAUUUCCGUGGUUACAAAACUCGUUUUCAAUUGUUUGCAGAUUUUCUUAAAAUCCGGCAAACGCGCAUCUGUCGCCAUUUAAUACAUCACUGCUGCCAUCUACUAAAUGACACGUGAACUCAUCUUCUCAUCUAUUAAGUGACAGCGGAACUAAUUUAUCACUAGAAAAA